UGCUCUAUAGUCUGCAGCAUUUAUCUCGAGCAAACUUAAGGGAAGACGGCGAGGAGGAGCUUUCGACUGUAUACAAUCAGGGAGAAUGAGCUUUGUAAAAAAAUUAAAGAUAGUCAAUAUUUUGCUACACAGAUUCUUCAUAAUUUCCUAGAUGACUGUUUAUCAAACUCAUAAGGUACUUCCCUAUUUCCCGGAUUUUUCUACGCAUGGUUAUUUGAUUUUGGUACCCAAAGGAAGGCUUCUCCUCCAGUUUGAGAAUCAUUGGUCAACUAAGUUCUUCAAUGGAAGCUUGUGGAGUGCUAAAUGUGCUACAUAUAGUAUAAAAGAGAUCAUUUUAAGUCUAUCCUCAAAGAUGAUAAUGGACUGUUUUGUGUCUUUUCUCUUCUAUUUACAUCAGCACCUAGUAAUAAGAAAUAAUAGCUGUAAUUUUCAACAAGCUGCAGUUUGCCCUUUGGUAUCCUUCAGAGAAAGCAAAGGAGUUCCUUUCUGGGAACUAAGAAUAGUAAUAUAAUAAGGUUUGUCAAUCCCACAUCGAUAGAAAAUGAAAAACAAAGAGUUGAAAGCAGUAUAAAACAAGAGGCCUAUGUACGAACUAAAGCAUACCUUUCUCGGCCUUUUGGCUAAGAUCAAGUGUAGUAUCUGUUCUUAACAGUUUAAUAUCUGAUAUGUGAGUCAUCGACUCACACGAUAUUAACUCAAUUUUUUAAGGGGGAAGGCUUAUCAUGGUAGCUUGCUACUUGGGCCUUCGCGCGUCGCCCAUGUGUUGCAUUAUUGCAUGGGCUUGGUGCACUCCACCAAAUUAAGUUCAAACACCAGUACAAGCAAACUAUUAGUAGUUCAAAGGGAUAGUAAUAUGAUUAUGAAAUUGAAAUCUAGGGCAAGGCAGCAGAACACCCUCUUGUGAUUAUCUAAUGCAAAAUCAACGUGUAGAAGGAAUAAAAAUGAUAUGAAGAUUAUGAAGUUGUUUUCUUUCGGAAAUAGCAUCUUUACUCCAGGUUUGUUGUUGUUGUUGUUGUUGAAAGUAAGGAAUUGUUUUAUGGAUCUUUAGAUGAUAAGUCUGCUGAAGAUUGUAGAUUGAAUAAUUCAGUUUCUGAGGAGGAAAAUGAAAAAGCCCUCCAAGAUGAAUAUAUUGGUACCACAAGGGCAUCCUUAUGCUAGGAUUUUGAUGAGAAUUUGAUUGGAACGAAGCUUUUUGCGUAGAAAGUGGAGAAUGAGAGAUAUGGAUGAAAGAGUUAACUAGAUUGAGGCUUCUGAUUUUGAUUGAACCUGAGAUUGGAUGAUUGUGGUAUGUUGGAAUUUGGUUACAUUGUAAAUUUGCACUAUUUCCAUAUCAUAAAAAAAUCCUGUUCUCUGAGCUAUUCAAAUAAUCUCGAGCUCAAUGAUUAAAGCUUCACAUAGCAGAGUACAAUGCAGUAAUACAUGAUUAUGGAAAUACUAACAGGCAUGAUCUUCCUGACUUGGUUAUUGGGCUCUCAUGUUUCUUGGAGCUGCAAAUGUGCAGCCAAGUUGAACAUGAUAUAGUAAAAGAGGGCUACGAAAGGCUUCACACCCCCCCCCCCCACCCCACACACACACUAUAUUUUUUUAACAUCAGCAACUAUUAGGGGAUUGUUUCGUUGGGAAGCAAGUUAUCCCAAGAUUAAUUAUCCUGGAUUAGUUAUAUAGUUCAGAAGGAUGUAAUUAAAAUCUGGGAAAGACUGGCAAAAAUAUGGAUGAGCACCUUCUUCCUGUUACUGUGUAAUGCUUUGAAAUAAGCAUGAGUAAUCAAAGCUUUGAUAAGACUCGUGUUGUGACACGCAAAAUAUUCUGAGGUGAGUUAUUUAGGAGAGAAAUAGGAUGGUUUAUUUACAUUACAAAGAAAGCAAAGGAGUUCCCUUCUGGGAAGAAGUGUAAUAGUAUUAUAAGGUUCAUCAAAGCCCAAAUAUAGCUUAAGACUUCUUUUUAGGCCUAAUCAUGAUUAUUUAAGACUUUUAACCAGAAAAAUGAAAGAAAAAAAGGAUUUUUUAACGUGUCAAAACUUGCUCCAAAAUUCAUACUUUACCCAAAUCAGCUUUUUCAGAAUUUUUUUUGAAAAUCUAUGUUUAAACGGUCCUUAAUCUUUCCUGUUCAAGUUAGGCUUAUCGACAUAUGUUCAAACUGUUUUGGUGGAGUAUACCUGCCCUUGUAGUAAGAUUUGAUGCAAAUGUUCACAUAUAUAUUGUCAAGAGGCCGGAUCUAGGAUUUAAGCUUUAUGAGUUCAACCUUUACGGUUCCUAUUAUUGAACCCAUUAUUUUUUAAAAAUUAUGGGUUCAUAUCUACUAUUUAUUGCAAUUUUAGUAGAUUUUUACUUGUACAUUUUUACUUUGUGCCGAAAGUACUGAGUUCAAAUGAACACGGUAUCAAUGCUCUACAUCCGCCCCUGUAUGUUGUCUAGUAAAACUGGUACAAAUUGAUAGAGUUGUUCUCUGUUGCAAAACAGAGAACACGCACGCUCUGGCUUUUUGUUAGACCUGUAAAUGUGCAGCCAAGUUGAAAAUGAUAGUGGAAGAGGGUCUUAGGUGCGUGUUGCGACAAUUAAAUGUCUUCAUUCUCAUGUUUAGGUGAUCAAAGGAAUCAUUACACUUUUUAAUAUCAGGAAUGAAAUGGUUCAGGAAGAAUGAGCUUUCCAAGAAAUUAAAGAUAGUCAUUAGAAGUGUACUAAGUUCUUCAGUUCCUCAAAAUGGAAGCUUGUGGUUUUGCAGAUAUGCUCCACUUUUGGCUUUUGCACCUCACUUUCCACUAAGAUAUCAUGGUUUAUGCUUGAGAGUGCUAAAUGUGCUCCAUAUAAUAUACUCCAAGGGAUCAUUUUAAGGGCCCGAUUGGCCAUAAAUUAAAAAACCCACUUUUUUCAGGUAAAUUUUAAUUUUUUUUCGAAAUCAACGUUUGGAUAUAAAAAAUUUAAAUUUCACUUGAAGUUGAGUUUCGGAAUUUUUUGAAAAUUUAAAAAAUUCCAAACGAAUAGCUACUAUGUGUCUUUGUCUUUGAUCGUUUUUGCGAAGAGAGUAAUGUUAGUAAACUGUAUUUGUAAAAUAAUUCUGGAAAAUAUAAAUGAACAUAAACAGAAAUGAAAAACAGAAACAGAAUUUGNNNNNNNNNNNNNNNNNNNNNNNNNCGAAGGUGUAGUGGUACUUCAAACCCCAGUGUUUCAGCGAACACAAAGUUCGGUAGCAAAUCACACUUACUGUUGCUUUGUUUGAUGUUAAAAGUAUGCAUAAGAAGGAGGAGAAACUCAGAAAAUCGUAUGGAAAUUCUGAGCAGAAUAGACUUGUAUUUAUAGCCAAAGUUGGGCUGAAAUCUGAAGAGGUGCAACUUUUCAAAAUGAUUGUUUAUGCAAAACGGCCACAUCAUAAAUGUCAUAACAUAAAUGGCUAUUUACUCAACAAUAAAGAGGGAAAAUAAAGAGGAAAUAUUGAAGAGGAUAGUUUAAUUUUCAGUUACACAACUGAAAAACGGAUUGGAGGAUUUAAUAUUAAUAUUUAUUUUAAUAUUAAUAUUCUGUUAUUAAACAAAUAUUUAAUAAUAUUUUUGUUAAUAUUUUACUAUUAACAAAUAAAUUUGGUCCAAAAAAUUAACCAAUCAAUCGAUCAUUUGACCGAAUCUGAAUCCGAAGCCGAAGUCGAGCCGAGCGAGCGACGACGGCGACGGCGCAAGACUUGCCUUUUUCUCAACUCUUUAAGAGCUAGAAGAAGAGCAAUUGCUUAUAUACCCAUAAAAAACAUCUUCCUCUUCCAAUAUGGGAACAAUGUCCCUUUGCCAAGGAGGGAUCUGAAUCCGAAUCUGAAGCCGAAGACAAAGCCGAGCAAGCGACGACGACGACGGCGCGAGGCUUGCCUUCUUCUCAACUCUUUAAAAGCUAGAAGAAGAGCAAUUGCUUAUAUACCCAUAAAAAACCUCUUCCUCUUCUAAUAUGGGACAAUGUCCCUUUGCCAAGGGGAGAAACUUAAAAUUUCACUCAAAAAUUUCAUUCCCCUCAAUUUCCCAUUUAACCUCUUUUAAGUAUUUAAUAUACUUAAAUACAUAAAAUCCCAACAAUCCCCCACGUGAAUGGGGAAUUACUAUAUCACAGAAACAUGCAUGGAAAAUUGUGUGAUUCGCAAGCAAGGAUUAAUUGCAUCUGGAUAAGUAAGUUUCCCUUUGAACUUUCUAUAGUGAACUUAUGUCGGAUAUACUCGAUCAAUCGGCAGAUUUGAUAUCUUUGAGCUGUCAAACUUUUGUGUAUACCUAGACAACCACAAGUCACACAACCAACCCUUAACUGUCUUUGGUUCUCAUUGUUGUGUUCGUUUCAGCCAUGAAUACCGCAUGGUUUCAUGAGUGCAUAGAGAACUGGCCUUGCAAGAUUCUCCUUGAAGCGGCUAACACUUCACAUUUACAUAGGUGAUUCCUAAACGUGCCAUCCCGUAGAUACACUAUUUGAUAUACCCCGUAUCAAAUUUAGAAAUCAUUAAAAAGCCUUAAGGCUUUAUCCUUGGUACUGAACAUUGUCUCAUCACGAGAAUGGACCAACAAUUUAGUUGAUAAUGUUGAACCGUCAUUAAUGACUUUAUUUGAUUUCCUUAAACCUAGAUCUUGGGAUCUCCAGUCUUCUAGGUAGAGUUACCGCCACUAUGACUUGUUCUCGGCCAUAGUCUCAUUCUCCUUGAUGACUUCUCAACUACCUCUCUAGUUAGGCCUUUUGUAAGUGGAUCCGACACAUUAUCACUUGACUUUACAUAAUCAAUCGUGAUAAUUCCUCUAAAGAGUAAUUGCCUAACGGUUUUAUGUCUUCAUCAUAUAUGACGAGAUUUACCAUUAUACAUAACACUCCCAACCCUUUCAAUUUCCGCUUGACUAUCACAAUGUAUGCAUAUUGGUGCCAGCGGUUUGGACCAAAUGGAAUAUCUUCCAAGAAAUUUCGGAGCCAUUCAGCUUCUUCACCGGCUUUGUCUAAGGCUAUGAAUUCAGCCUCCAUUGUAGAGCAGGCAAUACAAGUUUAUUUGGAUGACUUCCAAGAUACCGCUCAUCCACCAAUAGUGAAUACAUAUCCACUUGUGGACUUGGAAUCAGUUGAUCCGGUGAUCCAAUUUGCAUCACAGUAUCCCUCAAUGACCACAAGAUAUUUACUAUAGUGCAAAGCAAAGUCCUGAGUAUGUAGUAAAUACCCCAAAAUUCGUUUCAUGUCCAUCCAAUGAGAUUAACCUGGAUUGCUCGUAUAUCGGCUCAAUUUACCUAUAGCACAAGCUAUAUCUGGUCGUGUACAAUUCAUGAUGUACAUUAAGCAACCCAACACACGAGCAUAAUCCAAUUGUGAUAUGUUUUGGCCUUUGUUCUUUGCUAAUGCAAGAUUUACAUCAAUUGGAGUCUUUGCAACUUUAAAGCCCAAGUACUUGAAUUUUUCAAGUACUAUCUUAAUAUAAUGAGAUUGUUGUCACGCCCCUUUUUUUUACCAAACCUGUACUUCACCCCUCUUAAAAAAAAUAAAAGAGAUUUGUAAAGCUCGAAAGGGUUUUUCAAUAAGAAAGUGACAAAAAUUUGUGUUCAAAAGGAAAUAACUCUGAGUCGCCACCUGACAUUGAUUUCGGUGUGCCAGGCCACCGUUUUUUUUAAAAUGAUUUUUUCCUUUAAAACACUUUAGACUCCAAAACUAAAUCUGCACCACAGAUUCAUGUAAGAGGGUUCAUUUGACUAGGGGAGAAGGUGUUAGACACUCCCCAAGUCCCGUAACUACUACGGUUGCAUACUUGAUCAAGUCGGCUUUUAAGAUAUUCAAAUUGAGGUAAUAACACACAAAAAGAAAAUAAACAAUCAAAAGAGGCUCGAGGUUGUCCCCACCUAAAUGAAAGAAAAAUUAAAGUUCUAAAUUAUCCUACGCUAUUUCUUCUACGACGUUUGCCACGAUCUCCAAUUACAUUCACUUCGGGGCAUGCCCCUACAAUAAAAUAUAUACAAAUCCCUCAGGGCAUUCCCCGGAUAAAUUUAACUAAGCGAACGACCCCUCGUCUCGAAACUAACAAAAUCCAAAGGCUUGCCUACCCGAGUAUGGUCGGCCUAAGCAUGCUACUAGCAAUUUCAAGCAAACAAGAUAAAACUAUUAACGUGAUGAAUUUAAUUUCCCAUUCUAUAUGUCCAAAACCCCAUAUUCAAUACAGAACUCCAAUCAAUCUACUUAUAUAUGUAUAAUUAAUCCUUUUGUCAGCUAAAUAGUAACUGUAACAAUUAAAUAUAGAAUCAAAACUCACUCUAACUAUCAAAAUUCAUCCAAACAUAUUAAACUAAACAGCAAUAAAAUGACAUUCAAAGACAAAACAAUAAUAGAUUAACCAAAUAAUAAGAGCAUGAUGUUAAGCAAACAAGGAGUAGAAGGGAAAUGAGAAAUCGACCUCAAUGAACCUGAAGUUUCAUUGUAUGGCAACUUCACAAUGCAAAUGCCGGAACCGCAGACAAAAACUCGAAUCGGCGUCGGAAUCUCGAAACCAAAACGACUUCCAUCAAAUUUAGUCAGAUUCCAUGGUUUCAAGAUCAGAAAUUAGACGAAGAAGCUAAAAUCCAACAUCGGACUUAGGACAGAACUAAAAUAACGACUAGUUAACUGACGCAGCCAACGCUUCUAUUUUCUUCAGGAUAUGCUGCAAUGAUGUAAUAUUACAAUAAGUUUAUCUUUUGUUGUUCACUAAUCUUACAUAUGUGACCAAAGAAAAUGGUUGUCCAAGGUUGAAGAUGAAGACAGAUGGUUUUUUUAGAUUUUGAUCUCUGAUGGCUUUUUGUUCAGCUAUUGUUGAUUCUUUUCAUGUUGAAAAAGAAGCUUGGGUGGUCGUUGAUGGCGUUAGGCUGGCGGGCGGCUAGCUAGUUGACUGGUUGAGAGUCGCCGGCGUUGUUGUGGCUUGGAGAUGAAGAAGAAGAUGAAAGAGUGGCUGGCGGUGGUUUCCGGCGAGCUGCUGGUUCAGUGAAGGUGGGUGGAGAUGCGGCUGCUUGUGUCUUGGGUUCAGGGGUCUUUGUAGUAUGCUCAGGGGUUGAAGAAGGCAGUCAUGGGUCCUAAAGUUGUCCUCUAGGGUUUGUCUUGUGUAGGUUAUGAAGAAGAAGGGUCUUGAACUUGGGCCUUUGGUGGUGGAUUUGAAAUUGGGCUCCAUUUGGACAAGAAGAACUGAAAAUUUCAUUAAUAAAUCCAAGUUUCUUCCAAAUUAGCAUAAAAUAUUUGUAAACACAUAAAUCACUCCUAAUUGAUUAAUGUAAGAAUUAAAAAUUAAAAGUGAAAUUUUUUUUUUGGUAUUUUCAAAUAUUAUAAAAGUAGAUAAACAUAAGUUAAAACAUAAUAAACUAAAAUAGUACUACUACAAGAAUAUUAAUGAUCUUAUCUUAAAUAUAAAAUAAGACAAAGCAAAACUAUUUUUUGUAUUUCGAAUUUAAAGUAAAAGAGUCAAAAUUAGUUGAAAUAAAUAUAUUAGGCCUAAACUAAAUAUUUAAAUACUAAAAUAUGUAAAAUCUCGAGGAGGAUCAAAAAUCACAUGUCUACAGCUACCCCUCUUUGACUAGAAAUACGAAGUAUUUUCAGACAAAGAACGACUAGACAGGUAUUUUGACCCAACCCUUAUUUAAAGAGACCAAAAAUUUAAAAGAAGGAGAAUGUGACCGAGCCCUGGUAUCCGAGCUGCCUACAUAUCCUCGGCAAUAAAGGAAUCAAGCCACGUGUAGUUCAGAAGUAAAUGAGGUGACGGAGUAUACUGAGAUGGAGAGCCGAUUGAGGUGCCGUUCUGUCAAGGUUCCGGUCCGCGGUCCUGUUAUUACAUCAAAAUCAAAAAAUAAAAAAGACUAACUAAGCCUGUCAGCUAUGAGUUACAAAAUUCUUAUCUAUAAGUCUUCUGAAGUUUGAUCUUGAGUCUUGAAUGGUUCUUCAUGCAUACUUUAGAUUUGAACCUUGACGCUCGCUAAUUGCAGGUGCUAAUUCAUUCUUCUUCAGUUUUUUAGAUCAGAACCGGACACACCAUGCUUGUGACUUUAGUCAUGUCUUGAUCAAUCCACCUCUUGUCUGCUUCUGCAUUUUGGAUUCAUUUCCCUUUUCUUUUUUUUGUUUUGUUUUUUCUUUUUUUAUUCUGGAUUGAGAUUACUUCUGUUGAUCAUCUCAGACUGUUGACUCGCAUUCUUGCCACGAGCUUCUGCUACUUCUAAGUUGAAUUGGAUUCUGAAAUGACUUCCCUUGUUCUCCAGGUGGGUGCCUGCUACUGACUUGAAACUUGAAAUGACUCUGAAAUGAACCCUAAAAUGUCUUCCCUCGUUCUCUACGUGGGUGCCUGCAAUCAAAAUAACAAAACAAAUAAAAUUUCCUGCCCUAGUUUGCACUAGGAAGAUUUGUAAAUUAUUAGCAAAACUGUAAAUCACCUAUGUCAUUGAUGCAAUGAUGAGAGCAAAACUAAAGACAUGACUGGGAUGUGCAUCUCUUAUGAGUAAAACCAAGAACAUUUGACUAGCAAAUUCAUCAGACUAAGUCUUCUAUUUUAGGAGAAAGAUUCAUCAGACUAAGAUUUUGAUCCUAGGAGAAAAUUCAUCAGAAUAAUUCCUUUUUCUUUUCUUUUUUUCUUUUUGUUGUUAUCUUAGGAGAAAGAUUCAUCAGACUAUGAUGUCGAUCCUAGGAGAAAAUUCAUCAGACUAGGUUUUCUAUCUUAGGAGAAAAAUUCAUCAGACUAAGAUUUCGAUCCUAGGAGAAAAUUCAUCCAACUAGAUCUCUUAUCUUAGGAGAAAGAUUCAUCAGACUAAGAUUUGAUCCUAGGAGAAAAUUCAUUAGACUAGGUCUCUCUUAGGAGAAAGAUUCAUCAGACUAUGUCUUUUUGUUAUCUUAGGAGAAAGAUUCAUCAGACUAAGAUUUUGAUCCUAGGAGNNNNNNNNNNNNNNNNNNNNNNNNNNNNNNNNNNNNNNNNNNNNNNNNNNNNNNNNNNNNNNNNNNNNNNNNNNNNNNNNNNNNNNNNNNNNNNNNNNNNNNNNNNNNNNNNNNNNNNNNNNNNNNNNNNNNNNNNNNNNNNNNNNNNNNNNNNNNNNNNNNNNNNNNNNNNNNNNNNNNNNNNNNNNNNNNNNNNNNNNNNUCAUCAGACUAAGAUGUCGAUCCUAAGAGAAAAUUCAUCAAACUAGGUCCUUUUUUAUUAUCUUAAGAGAAAGAUUCAUCAGACUAAGAUUUUCUAUCUUAGGAGAAAAAUUCAUCACACUAAGAUUUCGAUCCUAGGAGAAAAUUCAUCAGACUAGGUCUUCUAUCUUGUUAUCUUAGGAGAAAGAUUCAUCCGACUAAGAUUUCGAUCCUAGGAGAAAAUUCAUCAGACUAGGUUUCUAUCUUAGGAGAAAGAUUCAUCAUAUUAAGUCUUUUAUCUUAGGAGAAAGAUUCGUCCGACUAAGAUUUCGAUCCUAGGAGAAAAUUCAUCAGACUAGGUCUCUAUCUUAGGAGAAAGAUUCAUCAGACUAAGAUUUUGAUCCUAGGAGAAAAUUCAUCAGACUAGGUCUUUUAUCUUAGGAGAAAAAUUCGUCAAACUAAGAUUUUGACCCUAGGAGAAAAAAUAUGAAGAGCAAAAGCAACAUUUUAUGCACACUAGCAAAACAGGUAUGAGAAAAGAUUUGAGAAACUUCCCUUUGUCGAUUCUUCUCUUUUUUUUUCUUUUUCUUUCUUUUCUUUUUUUUCUUGUUUUUGAACCCACUUACUUGCACUGCUUUGUUCCUGUUUCAAACAAAGAAAACUUGUGAGUUUAAAUGUGGUGGUUAGUUUGUGGCCUUGACCUUGAGAGCGGCUGCUUCUACACUUGCCAAGAUAACUUUGAUUUCAACUUGGACAACCUUAACUGUUAUCGACUACCCAUUUUCUUUCAACCCUUAUCACAGAAAACACCUCUACUCCAUUCGAUCCCAAUAUCCUCUAUUUUGUUGUAUUUUGCUUAUGAAUUGACAUUUAUCGAACCCUUGCAUUUCACAUGAAUCCCAAAGCAUGUUGAUUGUUACCAACUCAAUGCGCAUACCAAUUUUCCUUGACUUACGCCACUUUGAUGUGCUAGCUAAAUUCGUUUUGUGCAAUUAGAAAAUUGAUAGCAAAUUUUGAAGUCAUUUCUCACUUGUUCUGACCAAACAGACUCAAGAAGGGACUCAAACAAAAUAAGAGGAACAAAAUAAGGGACAAGGGAAAGAGAUGAUACCUAACAAGAAAAUUACAAAGUAGAAACUUAUCAGAUGGAUACCAACUCUAAUGACCAUGACAUGCACCUUUGAAUUAAAUGGCCUAAUAUGUCAAGCAAGUCUAAUGUUCAACUCUUGUUGUACCUUUGAGCCAUGAAACUGGGCUUCAACGCUUCAAUUAUCCCAUCUGAUCCACAAUCCUCAAUUGACUUAUAGUGCCCUAAAGGUUUUCACCAUCAAGUCUCUCUCAUUUUGUUCUUUUCUCAACUCACCGUCGCCUUACGGUGCCCAUGAGGGUUUUCACCGAUAAAACUCUCUCAUUUUAUCAUUUUCCCUCUUUAUACUGAGAACAAGGUAUUACCCAUGAUGCAAGAAGGUCAUACUUUCGCCACACACUUGAUUUGACAUCCUCAAAAAUUAGUCGGAAGGUCUUUCUUUGGACCGUAAUGUAGGCUUUUGGACAGGGUUAGAAAGAAAGGGUGACAUGAAGUCUCAAAAUAAUUUAAGAUGAAAGGGUUCAAAAUUAAAACUUUUGGAAUCAGGUCUUUUGGCAAAAUUAAAACUUCUGCCCCCGUUUCUUGGAGUAUGGGGAUUUUUUUUAUGAGAUUUCUAAGAAAAUCUGCCCACUCUUGAUUUUGGGGGAUUAUGAAAUAUUUUAUUUGGUGUGACGGAAUCGUAAGGUUGCCGACGUAUCUUGUAGUGACAAGAAUCAGGUCGAACGUAGUUCAAACACAAAAAUAAUUUUUUUUCUUUUUCUCCUUUCCCCCCCUUUUUUCUUCUUUUUCUCUUUUCCCUUUUUUCUUCCUUUUCUCUUUUUUCUUUUCUUUUCUAGUUCCUAACUCUAUUUCUGAUUCCAUAAGAGGGGUAUGAAAGAAAAAAUUAGGGCUCAAAAGGAGGUAGCAAAGGAUAAAAGUGUUUGGGUAGCAGAAUAAAAUGUCUUCAUCGUACCGAACUUUAAAAAUGCCAGGUACAAGCAUGAAAUUAAAGAUAAGCAAAGAAAUCAUACACAAUAUUUAUUGAUGGCAUCAACACAAACAGAAAGCGCCAACGGGCAAUACCUUUGUCUCAAUGAAUGACACUGGCCAGUUCGAAGCAGACUUGACUCAACCUUACCUUGAUGUGAAAGAAUGCAUUUCAGCAGUGACUGAUUUAUCUCAAACUGCUUGAGAGACAUUUUCUUGUUGCAUGCUCUUAUCAACCUCUUGAUUUCCAAGACUUACUGCCUCAGUUUUACUCAAUUCAAGCUUCAAGUCAUCUAAGAAUGCGUGAAUCUUUACAUAUUCCCUCAAAUGCAUCCUUUUAUCAUAUUCAAAAUUGUGCCAUUGCAUCAUGAGUAGACUAACUUUCAAGAUCAGGCUGAGAAUUAUAUGUGCGUGUCAUGUCACUAGAGUCAGCAUGAAAAGAAUUAUAAAAGAGAAAGUGACCUAAAUAAAAACUAACUAGAACUAACAGAAAACAGGAGAUUGCAUUAGACGGAUGUUGAACAGGGUUUGAACAAAACAAGCAAAAUAGACAUGGGUUACAACCCUGGAGCAAUCCUAGAUAACACUAGACUAGUUGCUACAACUAAACAAACUAGGCAAAAUAAGAAGAAGAAGAAGGGCUUGGGUCAUAAGACAAUAUCCGGAUUCCAACCCUGAAAUAACCCGGACAACAGAAAUGACAAUAAAAUAAACUACCAAAACUCCUUCCUGGCUAGCCAAGAAAGGAGUGUCUUUCCAAUUACUAGGCUCGACAUCUUAGCCACUGGGUUGCACAUCAAAAUUACUAGGACCUUCACCAAUUUCUAUCACGUUGACCUUAGCAAAUAGAUUUUUGGUCCCUUUUGCCAACUUGUCCUUAAGAUCAACCUCUAUAACCGAGACUGAUAGCGUUGAAAACUUUGCAGUAAGUGGCCCUCCAAGGGAUUCAUAAGUGUUCUCAUAUUUCUUUUCCACACAAAUCAUGUCCACCACAUGCGUCUCAUUAUGAACAAAUAAUGGACUUUGGCUAGUAUCUGUUGCUUUUGGAUUUGUACGGUAAUGUCACCUGCAUUAAUAAUCUUCUAGACUGCUCUUUUCAGAUGCCAACCCUUUUCUAUGUUGUGCCUCGGGGCAUUAGAGCAAUAUGCGCACCUUUGAGAAAAAUCAAAAUUCUUUGGAAGGAUCUUCGACAUUUUUAUCUGAAUUGGCUCCAACAUGUCCAAUUGCCUCAGCCUUUGGAGCAAACUAGCAUAUGAUUCUCCAAUAGGAGUGAAAGACUUUUCUCUUUGCUGUUGACUAUUUUGUACUCUGGCCUUUGUUGGAACCUCUUUCGGGUAGGGGGUUGAUAUGCUUGUAGAGGUGGGUAAGACAUUUGUGGAGGCGGUGCAAGCCGUUGCGGGUUUUGUGGAUGUGGAGCAUAUGGCGGUACAUUGUGAAUAGAGUACUGGGAAUGUGAGGUAUGACUUUGGGAAUUUUGUGGAGGAAAGUAGCAUUGGUGAGGAUUAUCUGGAGUACUAGGAUAUUUAUGGGGUCGGUAUUGAGGCUGAAAGCAUUUAGCAGGAAUGCCCCCUGGAUCAUGUCUUUGGCGGGGCUCAGCAACAUCUUUUCUAUCAAUUGGAGAACUGACCCGAGCAACUUGUCCGUUCUAUCUUAACCAAAACUCCUUAAUACUUUCCUUGGGUCUCUUUCCUUAGGCAUCGGGGACUUUGAACACAGUCUCGCUAGAGGAUCGAGGAAGAGUAGCUAGUGGAAGAGCUAUAAAAGUUGGAGCAGAUGUCGGAGCAGGGUAUGAGGUUGUUUUGGCUGGUGGAGCAUGGAAAGUUUGGAAAGGAGUGCCAAGGUAAUUGUGGUAAGAGGUAAAGCCCGGUGCAUGUUGAGGAGAAAGGUCAACGGUAAUGGGAACCUGGGCUUGUGACAGUGGUGGGAUAGUUGUAAGGUUUUCAGUGUAGUUAGUGGGGAAUGAAGGUGGAGAAUGUCUCCUGAUCCAAGACUGAUACAUUUCUACCAUAUGUCGUUUCAAUCUUUGGACCUCCUCUUUCAAUUCAUACUCCGACUCCACAAACUCCCUCGAGGGGUCAACAACUCCUGUGUUCAAGUCUUUGCUAUCCAUGUCUACCUUGCUCUUUGACCUUGUGUUGUACAGAUGACUCGCCAAAGUGCCACAAACUAACCACCCUCUGUUAUGAUCACAAUGAAAGUAACAAAAAGGGAGCAAAACAAAGCCAACAUGUUAGCGUUAUGACAUUUAUCAGAUAGAAAUAUCACAUUGCGUGCAAUGCCCCUAGCAACAAUUAAUGGUUCUAGAAUGACUUCGAGGGUCACAAGAUCAUUUGACAUCAUCCCAAUUUUGCUCAUUUCAACCUUCUCUUUUCUUUCUUUUCUAGCACUUCUUGGCUUGCUCAUUUUCCUUCCUAUCUUUUUCUUUUUAAUUGUCUCUCUUUUCUUUUCUCUCAUUCCUCACAUCCACAAUUUCAUCUCUCUCUUCUUUUUUUUUAAAAGAUGCUUCGAUCGAACCCUAUGUAGGUUGCCCACGUAUCAUGUCCCUCAUGAAUCAGAUCAAGCAUAGUUCUGGAAAAGUGAUGGAUAAAAUAAACUAAAAUAAAUCUUUUUGAAUUUUCCAUUUAUAACUUUUUUUGUUUUUCAAAUACAAAAUAGGAAGUACUAUAACAAAAGACUCGAAAAUCUUAACUAGACUGACAGACUCGAUACUACUGUACAAGACAACAUAAAAUAGACUAAAAAUAAAAAGUUUCCUCAAGCAACUCGUGCAUGGAAUGGUCUUGACUAGAAUGGUCCUGGGGUAUUUGUCAUGCUCAAACUCUAGCAAAUUGAUCCAUACCUGAAUGGGAAAAAUAAGAUCAAAUAGAGUUAGUGACUCAAGAUACAUGUGACGCCACGACACCUUCUAUUGGACACAUGCAAGGCAUGAUUAAGGCUUUUUGCAAAAUGACCUAUGUGGCCAAGAUGACUAGAAAUGUAAACUCAACAAAGGUGACCUCAAAGACAUGAAAAUACCUCACUAAAGCAUAUAUGGAUUCAACUCCCAAUAAUCAUGGCCCAAAAUCAAUUUGUAGAAAUGACCCAUUUUGCAAAAACGGCUGAUAUGGCCAGAAGUAGCCAAAGAUGCAAACUCAAAAAGGAUGAACCUUAAAGUAUUAUGACACCUAGUUGUGGAAUCAAGAUCCUAAGACAUGGGUUAUUGAACCACUUUUGCGAAAAUGACCCCAUUUUGCAAGAAUGGCCGAUGUGGCCAAAAGUGGCUAAACAUGUAAGAUAUGGCUAAGACCCCGCAAAGCCAAGAACCUAAGACUUACUAGGAAGAUCGGACCCUAUGUGGGUUGCCUAUGUAUCAUGUCCCGAAAGACGAGAAUCAGGAAUGCGUAGCUCGGGAAGAUUGGACAUGGGAGAAAGCUUAAAAAAUGACACUAAUUUGGAAAAAAUAUAUUUCUUUGUCUUUUUGAGAAAUGAUGGAAAAUGUAAAAUCUUUUUGGAUUUUCAUUUUUUGAUUUUUUGGAAAAUGAGGGGAAAGUGCAAAAUCUUUUUGGAUUUUUCAUUUUCGUUUUUUUAUUUUAUUUUUUGAAAAAUGAUGGGAAAGUGUAAAAUCUUUUUGGAUUAUUCAUUUUCAUUUUUUUUUGAAAAGGUUGUGAAAACAAAUAUAACUGGGCCCUACUUGCAUCAUUUUUUACCCUUCUUUCCCAAGCAUCGGUCCGUCAAAUGACCUUUUUACCCUCAAAGGUGCAACAUGUAUCACAUAGGGAUGAUUGAUUGUAUUUUUAGGCAACGGGCCCAUUUUUGACAAAAUUUGGAUAGGCUUCCUACAAAGGGACACGGUGCCUGGGAUCGAGCCCUACUAGGUCCAAAUGACAUGAUGCAAAUAAAAAUGACCUACAGGCUGACCUAAAUUUGGGGUUCACUCGACAAGGCAAUUCGUGGUGGCACGUGGUCGAUGGCGGCUGCUCUAGCUGUUCGCCCACUCCACGCUCCCAUGCCACCCUCUAAAGACACGAGUCACUCAAAAAAGGACCGUGUACGCUCAAACGUACUCCGAAAGACUUGUUACAAAAAAAAAGACUCAGGGUUAUGCAACUGAUGACAAUUUAUAAAGCAGUAACACAUAAAGGAAAAACUGUAAACGAAUAAGCAACUAGCAAAUAAUAAAACGACAUAAACAAAAAUAAAAAUCAAAUAAAGCAAACAAAACACAUAAAAACCUCAACCGAUCAUCCUUAAAAGCCAACAAGAUCAAGUACUAGCUCGAACCUGUAAAUCCCCAGCAGAGUCGCCAGAGAUGUCACACCCUCUUUUUUUACCAAACCUCUACUUCAUCGCUCUUAAAAAAAUAAAUAAAAGAGAUUUGUAAAUCUCGAAAGGGUUUUUCAAUUAGAAAGUGACAAAAAUUUGUGUUCAAAAGGAAAUAACUCCGAGUCGUCACCUGACAUUGAUUUUGGUGUGUCAGGCCACCGUUUUUUUUAAAAAUAAUUUUUUCCUUUAAAACACUUUAGACUCCAAAACUAAAUCUGCACCAGAGACUGGGCAAGGGGGUUCAUUUGACUCGGGGAGAAGGUGUUAGGCACUCCCCAAGUCCCGUAACUAGUACGGUUGCAUACUUGAUCAAGUCGGCUUUUAAGAUAUUCAAAUUGAGGUAAUAACACAUAAAAAGAAAAUAAACAAUCAAAAGAGGCUCGAGGUCGUCCACACCUAAAUGAAAGAAAAUUAAAAGAAGAAAAAUUAAAGUUCUAAAUUAUCCUACGCUAUUUCUUCUACGAUGUUCGCCACGACCUCUAAUUACAUUCACUUCGGGGCAUGCCCCUGCAAUAAAAUAUAUACAAAUCCCUCGGGGCAUUCUCCGGAUAAAUUUAACUAAGGGAACGACCCCUCGCCUCGAAACUAACAAAAUCCUAAGGCUUGCUACCCGAGUGUGGUCGGCCUAAGCAUGCUACUAGUGAUUUCAAGCAAACAAGAUAAAACUAUUAAUGGGAUGAAUUUAAUUUCCCAUUCUAUAUGUCCAAAACCCCAUAUUCAAUACAGAACUCCAAUCAAUCUACUUAUAUAUGUAUAAUUAAUCCUUUUGUCAUCUGAAUAGUAACUAUAACAAUUAAAUAUAGAAUCAAAACUCACUCUAACUAUCAAAAUUCAUCCAAACAUAUUAAACUAAACAGCAAUAAAAUGACGUUCAAAGACAGAACAAUAAUAGAUUAACCAAACAAUAAGAGCAUGAUGUUAAGCAAACAAGGAGUAGAAGGGAAAUGAGAAAUCGACCUCAAUGAACCUGAAGUUUCAUUGUAUGGCAACUUCACAAAAUGCCGGAACCGCAGAUGAAAACUCGAAUCGGCGCCAGAAGCUCGAAACCAAAACAACUUCCAUCAAAUUCAGUCAGAUUCCAUGGUUUCAAGAUCAAAAAUUAGACAAAGAAGCUAAAAUCCGAAAUCGGACUUAGGACAGAACUAAAAUAACGACUAGCUAACUGACACAGCCAACGCUUCUAUUUUCUUCAGGAUAUGCUGCAAUGAUGUAAUAUUACAAUAAGUUUAUCUUUUGUUGUUCACUAAUCUUACAUAUGUGACCAAAGAAAAUGGCUGUCCAAGGUUGAAGAUGAAGACAGAUAUUUUUUUUAGAUUUUGAUCUAUGAUGGCUUUUUGUUCAGCUGCUGUUGAUUCAUUUCAUGUUGAAGAAGAAGCUUGGGUGGUCGUUGAUGGCGUUAGGCUGGCGGGCGGCUAGCUAGUUGACUGGUUGAGAGUCGCCGGCGUUGCUUUGGCUUGGAGAUGAAGAAGAAGAUGAAGGAGUGCCUGGCGGCGGUUUUCGGCGAGCUGCUGGUUCAGUGAAGGUGGGUGGAGAUGCGACUGCUUGUGUCUAGGGUUCAACGGUCCUUGUAGUGUGAUCAAGGGUUGAAGAAGGCAGCCAUGGGUCCUAAAGUUGUCCUCUAGGGUUUGUCUUGUGUAGGUUAUGAAGAAGAAGGGUCUUGAACUUGGGCCUUUGGUGGUGGGUUUGAAAUUGGGC
rnacentral:lncRNA from 1 species